AGAGGACAUCUGCAGGCAUUUGCAGGUCAUCAUGUCCUGAAGCAAGGAAGCCACCGGGAUGCAGGGACAGUGGUAGAAACAGACAGUUUACUCACAAAGACAGCAGUGAAAGGACACGGAGUGGGCCGGGAGAUCUCUCUCUCUCUCUCUUCUCUUUCCUCUCCUCUCUCUUUCCUCUCUCUCUCUUUCCUCUCUUCUCUCUCCUCUCUUCUUUUUCUUCUUUCUCUCAACUCUCUCUUCUCUUUUCCUCCCUCUUUGCUCUUUCCUAUCUCACUCUCAGCCCGCAGACCCCACCCCACUCUGGAAGCCAGUUCCUCUUGCUCCGGUUCCCCCUGUGCAAACAGCGAUUUUAUAUCAGAAGACAUCAUUGGCUGUUAUCUGCCCAAGGGGACAGAACGCAGACAGCUAAAACCAGCGGGCCACAGAUCCAUGCUCACGCGCACACUGAGGCCUCACUGACUCUCCUGGAGGGAGCCUGCAAAGCAGGCUCAGAAGGGACUCCCAGCCAGGACAGGGACAGGUUGCUCUUCCCCGUAGAGGCUUGUGUCAAUGACACACAAGAAAUGGCAACUGCGGUGCGGCUCUCGGUAGUGUUGGCCAUGAAGACAGGUGCAUGUGGGAGCUGGAAGUGAGCUGCAAUCCACAUGGAUUUCCUCCUGAGAAUAAGCAACACCAUCUGAGCUUCUGAACUCUCUUAGUCCACGGGCUUCACCCACAGCGACCACCAUCCAGAGCCGCUCUUGGGACAAUGUGAAGAAGCAGAAGGGACUGGAGAAGCGUGGAUGAUUUCAGCCAAUGAAAUUGCUUUCCACGUGGCUGGUCAACUGAACCUCCUGUGAACUAGUCUUGACUGCUUUGUCUUCACCCUGAUCAAGGCUAUCAACAGAUUCCUGUUAGCCCUGCCCCUGCCUCCCCUCCCACCGCCUCUGGCUGUGUUUGAAGCCAUCAUUUCACGCCUUCUACCACAAGCUUGUUCCUCAGCAUCAUCUUCUUUUCCCUCCACCACUGAAGGAGACUGCCAGAUGGUCUCACCUCUGUCAACUGUCCAGAUGCACAAAGAAGCCCUUCAUUUAAAAAGUUAAAUCUUUAUUUUAAUUAUUUACUUCCUUAUAUAUACAAUUAUUUAUUAAAAAGUUAAGCAU
rnacentral:lncRNA from 1 species